rnacentral:rRNA from 1 species
UACGGGGGGGGCGAGCGUUGUUCGGAAUUACUGGGCGUAAAGGGUUCGUAGGUGGCCUGCUAAGUCAGACGUGAAAUCCCUCAGCUUAACUGGGGAACUGCGUCUGAAACUGGCGGGCUUGAGUGCAGGAGAGGAACGCGGAAUUCCAGGUGUAGCGGUGAAAUGCGUAGAUAUCUGGAGGAACACCGGUGGCGAAGGCGGCAUCCUGGACCGGUAUUGACGCUGAGGCGCGAAAGCCAGGGGAGCAAACGGG